UACGAAGGGGGCUAGCGUUGUUCGGAAUUACUGGGCGUAAAGGGCGCGUAGGCGGCGUGUCAAGUCAGGCGUGAAAGCCCCGGGCUCAACCUGGGAACCGCGCUUGAGACUGGCAUGCUCGAGUUCGGGAGAGGAUGGUGGAAUUCCCAGUGUAGAGGUGAAAUUCGUAGAUAUUGGGGAAGAACACCGAUGGCGAAGGCAGCCAUCUGGACCGACACUGACGCUGAGGCGCGAAAGCGUGGGGAGCAAACAGG
rnacentral:rRNA from 1 species